AGACGGAGGGUGCAAGCGUUAAUCGGAAUUACUGGGCGUAAAGCGCUCGUAGGCGGCUUGUUAAGUCGGAUGUGAAAGCCCCGGGCUCAACCUGGGAACUGCGUUCGAUACUGGCAGGCUAGAGUAUAGUAGAGGCAAGUGGAAUUCCGGGUGUAGCGGUGAAAUGCGUAGAUAUCCGGAGGAACAUCAGUGGCGAAGGCGACUUGCUGGACUAAUACUGACGCUGAGGAGCGAAAGCGUGGGGAGCAAACGGGAUUAGAUACCCCGGUAGUCC
rnacentral:rRNA from 1 species